rnacentral:rRNA from 1 species
GUAAGAGCUCACCAAGGCGACGAUCGGUAGCUGGUCUGAGAGGACGAUCAGCCACACUGGGAUUGAGAACGGCCCAGACUCUACGGGGGGCAGCAGUGAGGAAUUUUCGGCAAUGGGGGCAACCCUGACCGAGCAACGCCGCGUGCAGGACGAAGGUCUUCGGAUCGUAAACUGCUUUUCUCGGGGAAGAGCGAGGACGGUACCCGAGGAAUCAGCCCCGGCUAACUACGUGCCAGCAGCCGCGGUAAUACGUAGGGGGCGAGCGUUAUCCGGAGUUACUGGGCGUAAAGCGCACGCAGGCGGUCGUGCAAGUUCGGGGUUACAGCUCCCGGCUCAACUGGGAGAGCGCCUCGAAGACUGCGCGACUGGAGGGCCACAGAGGGACGCAGAAUUCCGGGUGUAGUGGUGAAAUGCGUAGAUAUCCGGAGGAAUACCAAAGGCGAAGGCAGUGUCCUGGGUGGCACCUGACGCUCAGGUGCGAAAGCUAGGGGAGCGAACGGGAUUAGAUACCCCGGUAGUCCUAGCCGUAAACGAUGACCACUAGGUGUGCGGGGUAUCGACCCCCUGCGUGCCGCAGUUAACGCAAUAAGUGGUCCGCCUGGGGAGUACGGUCGCAAGAUUAAAACUCAAAGGAAUUGACG